GGUCCAGCCUGCCCAGUGACUCUGUUCAACGGCCGCGGUAUCCUAACCGUGCAAAGGUAGCGUAAUCACUUGCCCUUUAAAUAAGGUCUAGUAUGAACGGCACCACGAAGGUUAAACUGUCUCCUUUUUCUAAUCAGUGAAACUAAUCUCCCCGUGAAAAAGCAGGGAUGAACCCAUAAGACGAGAAGACCCUAUGGAGCUUUAAAUAUUAACAACAUUUGUCACUCAAUCUUAUAAACAGCAUACAUGUUUGUUAAUUUUUGGUUGGGGCGACCACGGAGUAAAACUCAACCUCCCUGUUGAAACUUGCUAAGAACCACAAUUUAAGCACCAACAAACUGACAUCCAUUGACCCAAUAUUUUGAUCAACGAACCAAGUUACCCUAGGGAUAACAGCGCUAUCCACUUCAAGAGCUCU
rnacentral:rRNA from 1 species